UGGGGAAUAUUGGACAAUAGGCGAAAGCCUGAUCCAGCCAUGCCGCGUGUGUGAAGAAGGCCUUUUGGUUGUAAAGCACUUUAAGCGAGGAGGAGGCUACCGAGAUUAAUACUCUUGGAUAGUGGACGUUACUCGCAGAAUAAGCACCGGCUAACUCUGUGCCAGCAGCCGCGGUAAUACAGAGGGUGCGAGCGUUAAUCGGAUUUACUGGGCGUAAAGCGUGCGUAGGCGGCUUUUUAAGUCGGAUGUGAAAUCCCUGAGCUUAACUUAGGAAUUGCAUUCGAUACUGGGAAGCUAGAGUAUGGGAGAGGAUGGUAGAAUUCCAGGUGUAGCGGUGAAAUGCGUAGAGAUCUGGAGGAAUACAGAUGGCGAAGGCAGUCAUCUGGCCUAAUACUGACGCUGAGGUACGAAAGCAUGGGGAGCAAACAGG
rnacentral:rRNA from 1 species